UACGUAGGGGGCCAGCGUUGUCCGGAAUCAUUGGGCGUAAAGCGCGCGUAGGCGGCCAGACAAGUACGGUGUGAAAGUCACAGGCUCAACCUGUGAAUGCCGCUGGAAACUGUCUGGCUAGAGUCCGGAAGGGGCGAGUGGAAUUCCUGGUGUAGCGGUGAAAUGCGCAGAUAUCAGGAGGAACACCUAUGGCGAAGGCAGCUCGCUGGGACGGUACUGACGCUGAGGCGCGAAAGCGUGGGGAGCAAACAGG
rnacentral:rRNA from 1 species